rnacentral:rRNA from 1 species
UACGUAGGGCGCAAGCGUUAUCCGGAAUUAUUGGGCGUAAAGAGCUCGUAGGCGGUUUGUCGCGUCUGCCGUGAAAGUCCGGGGCUCAACUCCGGAUCUGCGGUGGGUACGGGCAGACUAGAGUGAUGUAGGGGAGACUGGAAUUCCUGGUGUAGCGGUGAAAUGCGCAGAUAUCAGGAGGAACACCGGUGGCGAAGGCGGCUCUCUGGGACGGUACUGACGCUGAGACGCGAAAGCGUGGGGAGCGAACAGG